rnacentral:tRNA from 1 species
GAGUAAAAAGUAUAAUUUUGUAUAUUUGGUUUCGGCCCAGAAGGUGGAUAAAUUUCCUUUACUUU